GCGUCAGUGGUGCGACGGUUUAGCACUUGCUUCCGGAAAGAGUACGAUCUGGGUUCGAAUUCCGGCUGACGCA